rnacentral:misc_RNA from 1 species
CUGAGUUGCAAAACUCCCAAACCCAAUGUGAACCUUACCUACACGUUGCUUCGGCGGACCCGCCCCGGCGCUUCGGCGACCGGACCCAGGCGACCGCCGGGGGAAAACACAAACCCUUUGUAUUACACAGUGAAUCUUCUGAAGUAAAAAAACAAAUGAAUCA